rnacentral:rRNA from 1 species
UGGGGAAUAUUGGACAAUGGGGGGAACCCUGAUCCAGCCAUGCCGCGUGUGUGAAGAAGGCCUUAUGGUUGUAAAGCACUUUAAGCGAGGAGGAGGGUACUGGUAUUAAUACUACCAGGUACUGGACGUUACUCGCAGAAUAAGCACCGGCUAACUCUGUGCCAGCAGCCGCGGUAAUACAGAGGGUGCGAGCGUUAAUCGGAUUUACUGGGCGUAAAGCGUGCGUAGGCGGCUAAUUGAGUCGGAUGUGAAAUCCCCGAGCUUAACUUGGGAAUUGCAUUCGAUACUGGUUAGCUAGAGUGUGGGAGAGGAUGGUAGAAUUCCAGGUGUAGCGGUGAAAUGCGUAGAGAUCUGGAGGAAUACCGAUAGCGAAGGCAGCCAUCUGGCCUAACACUGACGCUGAGGUACGAAAGCAUGGGGAGCAAACAGG